rnacentral:rRNA from 1 species
UGGGGGAAUAUUGGACAAUGGGCGCAAGCCUGAUCCAGCAAUGCCGCGUGUGUGAAGAAGGCCCUCGGGUUGUAAAGCACUUUUAUCAGGAGCGAAAUCUGCAAGGCUAAUACCCUUGUAGUCUGACGGUACCUGAGGAAUAAGCACCGGCUAACUCCGUGCCAGCAGCCGCGGUAAUACGGGGGGUGCAAGCGUUAAUCGGAAUUACUGGGCGUAAAGCGUGUGUAGGCGGUUUGUUAAGUCUGUUGUGAAAGCCCCGGGCUCAACCUGGGAAUGGCAAUGGAUACUGGCAAGCUAGAGUGUGAUAGAGGAUGGUGGAAUUCCCGGUGUAGCGGUGAAAUGCGUAGAGAUCGGGAGGAACAUCAGUGGCGAAGGCGGCCAUCUGGAUCAACACUGACGCUGAGACACGAAAGCGUGGGGAGCAAACGGAUUAGAUACCCUGGUAGUCCACGCCCUAAACGAUGCGAACUGGAUGUUGGUCUCAACUCGGAGAUCAGUGUCGAAGCUAACGCGUUAAGUUCGCCGCCUGGGGAGUACGGUCGCAAGACUGAAACUCAAAUGAAUUGACGGGGGUCAUAGCUGUUUCCUG